AUACGGAGGGGGCGAGCGUUAUUCGGAAUCAUUGGGCGUAAAGGGCGCGUAGGCGGCCUGACAAGUCAGGGGUGAAAUCCCUCGGCUCAACCGAGGAACUGCCUCUGAAACUGUCAGGCUUGAGGCCGGGAGAGGGUAGUGGAAUUCCCAGUGUAGCGGUGAAAUGCGUAGAUAUUGGGAGGAGCACCAGUGGCGAAGGCGGCUACCUGGACCGGUUCUGACGCUGAGGCGCGAAAGUGUGGGGAGCAAACAGGAUUAGAAACCCUAGUAGUCC
rnacentral:rRNA from 1 species